rnacentral:tRNA from 1 species
UCCCUGGUGGUCCAGUGGUUAAGAUUCUGCGCUCCCAAGGCAGAGGGCCCGGGUUUGAUCCCUGAUCAGGGAA